CCUACGGGAGGCAGCAGUGGGGAAUUUUGGACAAUGGGCGAAAGCCUGAUCCAGCAAUGCCGCGUGAGUGAAGAAGGCCUUCGGGUUGUAAAGCUCUUUUGUCAGGGAAGAAACGGUGAAGGCUAAUAUCUUUUGCUAAUGACGGUACCUGAAGAAUAAGCACCGGCUAACUACGUGCCAGCAGCCGCGGUAAUACGUAGGGUGCAAGCGUUAAUCGGAAUUACUGGGCGUAAAGCGUGCGCAGGCGGUUUUGUAAGUCUGUCGUGAAAUCCCCGGGCUCAACCUGGGAAUUGCGAUGGAGACUGCAAGGCUAGAAUCUGGCAGAGGGGGGUAGAAUUCCACGUGUAGCAGUGAAAUGCGUAGAGAUGUGGAGGAACACCGAUGGCGAAGGCAGCCCCCUGGGUCAAGAUUGACGCUCAUGCACGAAAGCGUGGGGAGCAAACGGGAUUAGAUACCCUGGUAGUCCACGCCCUAAACGAUGUCUACUAGUUGUCGGGUUCUAAUUAACUUGGUAACGCAGCUAACGCGUGAAGUAGACCGCCUGGGGAGUACGGUCGCAAGAUUAAAACUCAAAGGAAUUGACGGA
rnacentral:rRNA from 1 species